rfam:Larimichthys crocea isolate SSNF unplaced genomic scaffold scaffold364, whole genome shotgun sequence.
UCUCUGAUGGUCUAGUGGCUAGGAUUCUGCGCUCUCACCGCCGCGGCCUGGGUUUGAUUCCCGGUCAGGGAA